CCUGUCACCGUGGGACACACAGCACCGUGGACCGAUAUAUGACGAGAGAGAGAGUUUAGCCGUGUAAAGUGCAGAAUUGUAGUGAAAUUGAAUCUCACUCAUUCGCAUAUCUGUGUCCUCCUGAAGCUUCAAUUAUUUUUUGUUGAUGAUGAUGACCUAUUUACCUGUCAGCGUCUGGCGGGACGGUGCCCUGGACGAUGAUGAUCUCCCCGGUGUGCAGCCCACCAGGCCUGCUGAACCUGCUCAUCCCAGUCCUCACCCCCUACGGCUCCCACGUCGUCUUCGGAGUGCUACUGGGAAUCACUGACGCAUGCAUCUGCAUCCUGCGGGCCGUGCUGACCUUUGACCUGACGGGGGCGGAUGGCGAAUGCCAGUAGCCCAGUUGUGCUUCCUCCAAACUGUCAACGCCAUCAGCUGCCAGACCGGCCUUUGCAUAGGGGGUGUCCAUACAAUAAGGACAAUGAAAACCCAACUUCCUGUACCAGUCAUUUGGGGAGUGUUUGUGGAUGAUGGUGGGUUUAACCAGCCUCACCUGGCCAGGGUCAGACUGAUUGGUCUCUGGUGCUGGGUGAGGCUGCACACCUGUUGCACAUUGAGUAAUCAGUGCACAGGUUACAUGUUGUUGGUUUAUGAGAUAGCUCAAGAAAAGGUUUGACUUUGGAUCUGUAGAUGUUGGAUAAUCCACUUUUCAGCUAAAUAAGAUGAAAAAAGCGUGUGUGAUUGACAAGGAUGUGCAGCAGCGUCCCUAGAGUUUUCUCUCGUGGACCACUUGAUGGCAGCAGACCAUUCACAGGUGUAGCGCAAUGGUAAAACUGCGCUAUGUAACUUUUGAACUGCAGCUAUUUACUCAUUUUUUUUAAAUAUAUAGCUGAACUAGAAUGUUUAUAAAAGAUCCACGAUACAAUCAAUUGAUGGAUUUUAUUCUCUAUUAAUGGUGUUAUUCUUGGCACCUUUUGCUUUUUUUGUAAAGCAUUUCACUAUGGCCUAACAUAACUCCCACUGAUAUGAGUCUAUUGCAAUAGCAGAUUUUAUAACAGAUUUUGCCAGACGUCCACAUGUGAUUCAAUUGUGUAUUGGGUUCGGGCAUGAAUAGAAUAAAUACCCAUCCUAAGGUAAGAAUCUUGUAAUAGUUGGCACCUUAGAGUUUACCUGAAACAGGUACCUGUGAGCCAUACCAUAGCUGUAGAAAUGUUAAAAUCGCAAGCUAUUUUUGUUUGCUUUCAUUUAACUAGUGCCUUGUGCCAAGGAAUUAUGUAUACUAUUACAUCUGUAGAAAUGUUCACGAAUAUAGCAAAACAUGUGAAGGAUUAUUUGCUUAGAAUCAUGUUAGCGCAUUAUUCUUUGGACCAAAAUGUUGUUUGCCAAUUAGAAGAGAUUGGAGAAAUUGGACAGAAAUGGUGAAAAGAAAAGUAGGUGAUCACGUAUGUUACGUAUGCUAUACAUGCUGUUUGUAUACUAGUAUUAAAGAUAUUCUAUAAUGCAUGAGAUAUUGUAUUUAGUAUAAAUAAACACAUGUUAGUAUACUG